rnacentral:lncRNA from 1 species
UAAAAUAAAAAACCCAACAGAAUAGACGUCCUCAUAAUCAAACCCCCUCUAAUCAUAUUGCCACAUUCAAUAAGGAAUUCCAAAGAUCUUGCUCAUUAUUUUUCUCUUCUCAAAACGUCAGUCAAGUGCCGAUUCCAUCCCACCCCUGUUAAGUUGUGUUCCAGCGUCUUGAGUUUUCAUUUUCCUUUCAUGCUCCCCAGAUACUAAACUCGAUCUAGGUUGUUUUGUUUGUUGCAGGAGGCAAGGUUAAGCAGGUGAACGACCAGGUCUCGGUGGUCUGCAAGGGAGGUGAUGAUGGUGGUUGUUCUGCUUCUUCAAUUCAAAAUACACAAUAAAGACAAGAUUCUAUUCUUUUACUGCCGAUGCACUUCGAUGCGAACAAGAACGUGGUUCUGGAAAUAAAGAAAAGUGAUGAUUCUGAAGAGACAUUGCUUGAAAACAAAAGGCUUGUGGUGGAGGCAGUAGAAAAGCUGGUAAAACGGAAGAAGAGAUAUUGAUUCACAUGUUUCAACUAUUUAAAUUGAAUGUCAAAGGAUGAGCCAACCGCACUUGAUAUAAAAAAGGACCCUGAAAGCAUGUGAGAUGAUGAAGAUUGUAUAAAAGAUUCAUGGGAAGAUGAAGAUGAACCCUCUCUGUGGUAGCACCUCCUGUUGUGAAGGCCCUAAAGAAGUCAACAGUCAAACCGGCUCCAAGAAAAAGGGAUACCUGUUGUUGAAGUAGCAAAAGAGGUGCCAUUAAAUCCUUAAACAAGCUUUGUAUUUCAGGCUCGAGCUCGGGCUCAAUAACUAAAUGAAUAUGGAAGUAUAAAUGGCUUCAUAAAGUUUUGGAUUUAAUAUGUUGAUCGACUGUGCUCAGCGACUGUGGUUUCUUGACACAUACACUGGAGGAUACAGAGUUCAUCGCGAUAUAAAGGUACUCAGUAGAGUUUUCGACCAGUCGGAAACCGCAAAUGCUCUACUUGGUUGGCCAUAAUUUGGUUGUUUUGCGUCAGUUUGUUUUGUCCCUUCGUAACUUGGCAAGGGUUUGAUCCGUAUAGGGAUUGUCGGAUCCAACUGACAGGUGCAGGCAACAAAGAUUAUGGGAGUCAUAAAGGCGAUUAUUUUCUCUGGAUCAAAACAAGGGCGGGAUAUGCAGAUCUGGAAUGGGAUAAAUGGAGAACUUUAAUUUCAGCAAUUUCCCGAUGUGGAACAGAAUAUUGGGUUUGUGCAGAAGAAAAGGGAUGAUGUGGCAUUUUUAGUUUUUCACCGAAAGACCAUGAGUCUGUUGAUCAAUUUUCACUUAAGAACUUUUUUUUUUUACAGUAAUUCUUAUGUAUUAGCUUUGUGUUUUAACCACUUCACACAACACAACAUUUGAUGACAUUUUUCAUGAUAGUUUAACCAUGGACUGGUCAAAACGCCCGAAAGCAUUAUCUUUUCAAACUAAUU